UGGUAAAGGAAAAUCGGCAGAGGUAGAGGAGACAAAUUAUGGUGCAAAAAGUAGAAAUAUUACAAGUUAACAGUCAAUAAGGGAAAUGUGGAUGAAGAUACUGACUCCAGCCAGUAACUCCACAUUUCCUGAGCUUUCAAGAUAUGUCAAAGAAAGACAGGUUUAUAGAGCUGUUGCACACCCAGUCUUGUUUAAACCAGAAAUUGACUGUUACUGAUGAGUUUUGUUCAGCAGUUUGUUCCAGCAAUUUGUUCCAGUUUUAUGCUGCAGUCUGUUGCAGUUCCUGAAGUUAUUCUUCCAAAGUCUUUGUUGAAGAAUAGGCCAUGAAAAGGAGGUUGAUGUUGAGAAAUUGCCAGAUGCAGUUCCUUGUGGCAACUUCAAACCUACAGUACUAUAGGAGGGGGCAACAAUUACCACUAUUAACCUAGAAACCAGUGACCUAAUUUGAAAUUGGAGUAUGCCACAAACAUCCCACACAAAGCUGCAUAAUACACAAAUUACUGCAACAUAGAUAUCUGUGUCAUGACUAAAAGGAAAUUUCACCAGCGGCACAAAGGAUCACUGGGAUUGCAUGGAAGAUUCAGAUACUAUGACUGUAAAAAGCACAAUAGUCCAACACAUCAGUACCUGGUAUUCAGUCGGUAGUUACAGAAAUUGUGUAUUUGGCUUGAAAAGAUCCUAAAGUGAUUUUCCAAAAUGGAAGACAGCUUGAUUUUCCAGUUCUUGUCUCAGCAUCACCAUGCACAAAAAUAAACACUUUUUUCAGCGGUGUUUCUUAGUGUAUUCUUUUACCAGUGUUCUGGAAAUUGUUCCCUAAACCAGUCACACUAACAAUAAAUUCUUGCUAUGAUACUACUUGGUAUCUGGUACAAUGCCUAUAGCUGACAGACAUAUUUAUUAUGAAAAACUGGGACGGCCUGCGAAAGGUUACAUAUAUUAAGAGGAUAUUAGAAGAUGGAGGCAUUUUUCAAGCAGUGACUACGUUAUGAAGUAAAGUUGUAGCUUUUUGUUUAAAAUGUGAAAAUCCUAUCCUUUAAUACUCAAGACAAAUUUGGUACCAAAAUUUUCAUUAUCUUGAGUAGACAAUAACAAUUGUGAUUCAGGAAAUUCAAAUUGUGUUACGUAACUCUAUACAUGUACUAGUAAUCUUAAAUACAAUGUCAUUUUGUCUAUAAUUCUUCAUCUUUGUACAGUGGUUACAAAUUUUAAAACAGUUGAGAAAUAGGUUACAAGUGACUCAAAGCAAAGUUGUCGGGUUUAUUUGUGGUUAUAUCAGAUACUGAAAAGUCACCAGAUACUGAAAAGUCACAGUUUUUUAUACUGGCUGGCUAAAUAUUGAAAACAGAGUUAAACAUUUAAGACUGAAUCAUGUUCACAAAAUUUUUGAAAAAGUUGUCCAGCUUGUUUGCAUAAUAAUUUUCUUCUUGUCUCUAAGAAAGUCUUAUAAUUGUAGACAGUGUUAACAGAUUUCAUGUACCUCAUUUUCCCCGUCUGCUACAUUUUAUUAUCAAGCUAUCAAUUAGGUGUAAAAAAAAAAAAUGUUUGUUUCCAGUAUCCCAACCUACCCUAAAUUUCUGGCCCGACCCUAAAUGUUUUUAUGGCCUUGGAGAACAUUUUUUUUCAAU
rnacentral:lncRNA from 1 species